UCUGGUCAGGACGAACGCUGGCGGCGUGCCUAACACAUGCAAGUCGAGCGGAGUUAAUGAAAGCUUGCUUUGAUUAACUAGCGGCGGACGGGUGAGUAACGCGUGGGCAACCUGCCUGUUACAGGGGGAUAACACAGGGAAACUUGUGCUAAUACCGCAUAACACAACGAGAAAGCAUUUUCUUGUUGUCAAAGGAGCAAUCCGGUAGCAGAUGGGCCCGCGUCCAAUUAGCUAGUUGGUGAUGUAACGGACCACCAAGGCGACGAUUGGUAGCCGAACUGAGAGGUUGAUCGGCCACAUUGGGACUGAGACACGGCCCAGACUCCUACGGGAGGCAGCAGUGGGGAAUAUUGCACAAUGGGGGAAACCCUGAAUGCAGCAACGCCGCGUGAAGGAUGAAGGUUUUCGGAUUGUAAACUUCUUUAGUCAGGGACGAAUAAAUGACGGUACCUGAAGAAUAAGCCACGGCUAACUACGUGCCAGCCGCCGC
rnacentral:rRNA from 1 species